GCUACAAGAAUCCAUCCACCUACACCCCUUCUCCACCUGGGUGUCUCUCAGACCCAGAAAAUGGUGCCAUUGGCCCACUGACAACUAAAUGUGGGGACAGCCUUUUCAUCCUCUGAGGCAGGGGCAGGGGCCUGUGUACACUUCAAAGGAAAAAAAAACAAAAACAAAACAGAUGAAGCAGACAGGCCAGCAACUAAAAGGAAGACUGGACUUACACAUUUGUCUUUAGUAUGGCAUUCAGUCACCCCAUCUCUUACCUCAAUGGCAGUCUCAGGGGCUGUAGAUUUAACCUCCUUUUCUCCUUCUAUGCUCUCUUCUUCUUUGAGGCUAUUUUCCUCUAUUUUUAUCCCAUCUUCUGCAGAACAAUAAAAGACAAUCAAUUAGGAAGAAGGUACUAGAUCAGAGAGAAGGUCAUUUCUUCCCAGUUUGUCUCAUCUUAAAUUGUCCUCUCGUGCCUUUAAGAGCCAGCCCUAUUCUUAGGACGGCCCUCCUAAACUGAGAGGGAAUUGCUGUGUGUCCUGCCAGACUACCCUGUUAGAACUGAGCACAGGGGAGCAGAAAAAUAGGCCAGGACAAAAAGAGAGGGACAGAAAAUGAUAGGACAGGCAGACUUACCAGCAGGUGGGACAGGUGCAGGAGUGUUGGGCUGCGUGUCCCCUGGAGUGGAGGGUGUAGGAGUUUUUGGGGAGGGUGACCCUGGCUGGGACAUCUUCUUGUUUUCCUCCACCUCAGCCAGUUCAGGCAUGCUCCAGCGCCCAUUAACAUGUUCAAACUCCUGAACCUGUAGCAAUGGGACAAGAAGUUGAAGACCCAAUUCCAGCUACAGGCUCCUUUCCUAUUGGCCUUCCAGUCUCCGCCUCCCGGGUUCAAGCAAUUCUCCUGCCUCAGCCUUCUGAGUAGCUGGGAAUACAGGUGCCCGCCACCACGUGCAGCUAAUUUUUGUAUUUUUAGUAGAGAUGGGGUUUCGCCAUGUUGACCAGGCUAGUCUCUAACUCCUGACCUCAAGUGAUCCACCCGCCUCAGCCUCCCAAAGUGCUGGGAUUACAGGUGUGAGCCACUGCGCCUGGCCCCCUAGAAACAAUGGCAAGAGGCUCAGGGCUCACCUUCUUGCGAAUCAAAGACAUAACACCAAUUCUAGUAAGGACAUGCUGGCGAGACAGGCCUUCUCGGGGGACACCAUCAGCAAAGGUCUCAGCCCCAUCUGCCCCCGGCUCACAUAAAUGCCGCAUGAAAAGAGAGACAUAUGCCCUGUGUAAAGAAGUAGAGAAAGAGUUAAAUAGGGAUCAUGCUGACUCUUAGAUUCUUUUCCAUCCCUUCGUGAGGCAUUAUCACAGGCAAUAACUAUGGCUCCACCUUGAGGUAAAGCCCACCACUGCACGGGAAGGCUGAUCUCUAGACCCCACAAGAAGACCCAGGUUCUCUUCCAGGGAAGCUAGGAACACAUUACUAACAGCUUCACCUGCCAACUUCAACAGAGAAAAUAGCCCACUUCCCUGCACGGCUAGGCCUAGAACCAUGGAAUGACCAGAUAGAUAGCAGAAGCCCUUGCUCUAGAUCAGUCCACUCCAGCCCUCAACUCACUUGAACUCUUUCUCUGAUUUGCCUCGCAGGCUUCAUGUUCCAAGAAAUCCUCUAGCAGGUCUAGCAUCUUGGUCAUCU
rnacentral:lncRNA from 1 species